GGCCCAGUAGUUUCAGUGGAAAAUGUUAGUAAAAAUUUACAAAUUUUAUAAAAAUUGUUGAAAAUUGACUAUAAAGGACAAUAACUCCUUAGGGGGUCAAUUGACCAUUUCUGUCAUGUUGACUUAUUUAUAAAUCUUACUUUGCUGAACAUUAUUGCUGUUUACAGUAUAUCUCUUAGUAUCUAUAAUAAUAUUCAAGAUAAUAACCAAAAUCUGCAAAAUUUCCUUAAAAUUACUAAUUUGGGGGCAGCAACCCAACAACAGGUUGUCUGAUUUGUCUGAAAAUUUCAGGGCAGAUAGAUCUUGACCUGAUAAACACUUUUACCGCAUGUCAGAUUUGCACUAAAUGCUUUGGUUUUUGAGUUAUAAGCCAAAAACUGCAUUUUACCCCUAUGUUCUAUUUUUAGCCAUGGUGGCCAUCUUGGUUGGUUGGCCAGGUCACGCCACACAUUUUUUAAACUAGAUAUCCCAAAAAUGAUUGUGGCCAAGUUUGGAUUAAUUUGGCCUAGUAGUUUCAGAGGAGAAGAUUUUUGCAAAAGAUUACUAAGAUUUACGAAAAAAUGGUUAAAAAAUAACUAUAAAGGUCAAUAACUCCUAAAGGGGUCAACUGACCAUUUUGGUCAUGUUGACUUAUUUGUAAAUCUUACUUUGCUGAACAUUAUUGCUGUUUACAGU
rnacentral:lncRNA from 1 species